AGGGUUUGAUCAUGGCUCAGAACGAACGCUGGCGGCGUGGAUAAGACAUGCAAGUUGAGCGAUCAGCGACCUGAUGGUAACUGAAGGUUGAGAUAGCAGCGAACGGGUGAGUAACACGUGGGAAUCUGCCCUAAAGUUCGGAAUAGCCCAUCGGAAGGUGGGGUAAUACCGGAUGUGAUCUUCGGAUUAAAGGCCUCGGCCGCUUUGGGAUGAGCCCGCGCUCCAUCAGCUUGUUGGUAGGGUAAAAGCCUACCAAGGCAAUGACGGAUAGCUGGUCUGAGAGGACGGUCAGCCACACUGGAACUGAGACACGGUCCAGACACCUACGGGUGGCAGCAGUCGAGAAUCUUGGUCAAUGGGCGAAAGCCUGAACCAGCGACGCCGCGUGGGGGAUGAAGGCCUUCGGGUCGUAAACCCCUGUCGGUUGCGAGUAAACCCUGUCUUUGACAGGGCCACAACAAGCGUUGUGGGUUGAUAUUAGCAGCAAAGGAAGGGGCGGCUAACUCCGUGCCAGCAGCCGCGGUAAUACGGAGGCCCCAAGCGUUGUUCGGAUUUACUGGGCGUAAAGGGUGCGUAGGCGGUGAGAUAAGUUUGGCGUGAAAGCUCCGGGCCCAACCCGGAAAAUGCGCUGAAAACUAUUUCACUAGAGGAUUGGAGGGGAGACUGGAAUUCCUGGUGUAGCAGUGAAAUG
rnacentral:rRNA from 1 species